rnacentral:rRNA from 1 species
GACGAACGCUGGCGGCGUGCCUAAUACAUGCAAGUCGAACGCUUCUUUUUCCACCGGAGCUUGCUCCACCGGAAAAAGAGGAGUGGCGAACGGGUGAGUAACACGUGGGUAACCUGCCCAUCAGAAGGGGAUAACACUUGGAAACAGGUGCUAAUACCGUAUAACAAUCGAAACCGCAUGGUUUUGAUUUGAAAGGCGCUUUCGGGUGUCGCUGAUGGAUGGACCCGCGGUGCAUUAGCUAGUUGGUGAGGUAACGGCUCACCAAGGCCACGAUGCAUAGCCGACCUGAGAGGGUGAUCGGCCACAUUGGGACUGAGACACGGCCCAAACUCCUACGGGAGGCAGCAGUAGGGAAUCUUCGGCAAUGGACGAAAGUCUGACCGAGCAACGCCACGUGAGUGAAGAAGGUUUUCGGAUCGUAAAACUCUGUUGUUAGAGAAGAACAAGGAUGAGAGUAACUGUUCAUCCCUUGACGGUAUCUAACCAGAAAGCCACGGCUAACUACGUGCCAGCAGCCGCCGCCG